CGAAGGCAGUGUUGUAGGUGGC
rnacentral:misc_RNA from 1 species